GUGGGGAAUCUUGGACAAUGGGCGCAAGCCUGAUCCAGCCAUGCCGCGUGAGUGAAGAAGGCCUUAGGGUUGUAAAGCUCUUUUGCCAGGGACGAUAAUGACGGUACCUGGAGAAUAAGCCCCGGCAAACUUCGUGCCAGCAGCCGCGGUAAUACGAAGGGGGCUAGCGUUGUUCGGAUUUACUGGGCGUAAAGCGCACGUAGGCGGGUCGUUAAGUCAGGGGUGAAAUCCCGGAGCUCAACUCCGGAACUGCCUUUGAUACUGGCGACCUUGAGGCUGGAAGAGGUUAGUGGAAUUCCCAGUGUAGAGGUGAAAUUCGUAGAUAUUGGGAAGAACACCAGUGGCGAAGGCGGCUAACUGGUCCAGAUCUGACGCUGAGGUGCGAAAGCGUGGGGAGCAAACAGGAUUAGAAACCCCUGUAGUCC
rnacentral:rRNA from 1 species